UGGGGAAUAUUGGACAAUGGGGGGAACCCUGAUCCAGCGACGCCGCGUGGGUGAAGAAGGCCUGCGGGUUGUAAAGCCCUUUCGGUGGGGAAGAAAAGCGCUGACCUAAUACGUCGGCGUCUUGACGUAACCCACAAAAGAAGCACCGGCUAACUCUGUGCCAGCAGCCGCGGUAAUACAGAGGGUGCGAGCGUUAAUCGGAAUUACUGGGCGUAAAGCGCGCGUAGGCGGCUUUGCAAGUCGGGUGUGAAAUCCCCGGGCUCAACCUGGGAACUGCAUUCGAGACUGCAUUGCUCGAGUAUGGGAGAGGGAGGCGGAAUUUCCGGUGUAGCGGUGAAAUGCGUAGAUAUCGGAAGGAACAUCAGUGGCGAAAGCGGCCUCCUGGACCAAUACUGACGCUCAUGUGCGAAAGCGUGGGGAGCAAA
rnacentral:rRNA from 1 species